AAGAACCCGCAGAUUCACGUUCAAUCACACGAUAACGAGUCGUCUCUCUAAAGACAGACACAUAGACAUAUCAGCAGUAGAUUGUGUCCUUCCAGAGGAGGAAAUCUACUUCUAGACUUCUAGAAUCAGCAUCUCCUCAUCCAUGGUGUCAUCGGGGUGAAAUGACGUCUAAAAACCUUUCACUUGUUCGUCUCCGCCCGUUUGCAUGGUGUGAAAUACGAUCCUCCUGAAACACGGAGUGUUUUAUUUUGAAAAGAAGCCGGAUGUUUUAUUUUGAAAAGAAGCCGGAUGUUUUAUUUUGUGUCUGUGCCCGACUUCCUUUCCAGCACGGGUUAAUCUGUGCUGAAUUUAUCCGCCAUGCUCCGGCGUCCAGAAAAAAUAGAACUCUUGUGAUCAGCUGAGGAGUCCGGCGAUCCGCAGAGGAACGGAAAGAAGUCGGUGUAAAUCGACACGUUAACUUGAAUGGUUACGAUCAGCUACGAUCGGAGGAUACGACCUUUUAGGAGACGAUCAGGAUGAAGGUGGAGGUCGGGGG